rnacentral:rRNA from 1 species
CCUACGGGUGGCAGCAGUAGGGAAUCUUUCACAAUGGGCGAAAGCCUGAUGGAGCAACGCCGCGUGCAGGAUGAAGGCCUUCGGGUUGUAAACUGCUUUUAUAAGCGAGAAAUAUGAUGGUAACUUAUGAAUAAGGAUCGGCUAACUACGUGCCAGCAGCCGCGGUCAUACGUAGGAUCCGAGCAUUAUCCGGAGUGCCUGGGUGUAAAGAGUUGCGUAGGUGGCAUAAUAAGUAGCUAGUGAAAUCUGGUGGCUCAACCAUUCAGACUAUUAGCUAAACUGUUAAGCUCGAGACCGUUAGGGGUAACUGGAAUGUCUAGUGUAGGAGUGAAAUCCGUAGAUAUUAGAAGGAACACCAAUAGCGUAGGCAGGUUGCUGGGACGGUUCUGACACGAAGGCACGAAAGCGUAGGGAGCAAACGGGAUUAGAUACCCGGGUAGUC